UACGUAGGUGGCAAGCGUUGUCCGGAUUUACUGGGCGUAAAGCGUGCGCAGGCGGCUAUCCAAGUCAGUGGUGAAAGCCCGGAGCUCAACUCCGGAAUUGCCAUUGAAACUGUUUAGCUCGAGUACGAGAGAGGUGAGUGGAAUUCCCAGUGUAGAGGUGAAAUUCGUAGAUAUUGGGAAGAACACCGGUGGCGAAGGCGGCUCACUGGCUCGUAACUGACGCUCAUGCACGACAGCGUGGGGAUCAAACAGG
rnacentral:rRNA from 1 species